GUCCUCCAAGAACAGAUCCUAAGCCCAGGAGUCCAGGACCCAUCAACGGCAAAUCUGCUCCGACUGGAUGUGUCCGCCCUGCUGCACAGCCUUUGGGAGAUUAUGCAGGGGUGGAGUUCUGGUCUAACGGUCCUUUCUGCUAACACUUCACCUUCCAUACUGAGUCGAACAUGGAGCCUCUGUAAACCAAAACUCGGAACGACCGCCAUCGCUGAGACCUUGUGAUAAACCGGCUCCUCUGGCACACACACAAAGCUCACAGGUGCUGAAGAGACCAGGGGUGCUGUGUUCGAUGUGAGGCAGAGCCAUGCAGAAGUGUGGAGGUUUUACACUGGAGACAGAAAGCAUUCUAGUUUGCCAAUGAGUGUGUAAACGAUGGUCGGCGUAUAAGGCGAGACCAGUCAGGAUGCCUGGGAUGCUACACUCCUUAAUUUGUGUCCUGCCUGGUAAGCAAAAGGUAGCUCCAAGAAAAGCCACGCUCGAGUCAACAUGAAUCUUGGGAACAGACAACCAUGGAAAGACCGGGAAGGCAGCUGUUCUCCAUGCACGGGAGAUGUGCAGAGACUCAGCUCUGUGUCAGCGAGGACCUGUCUCUUCUCUUAAAAUUGAGAUAAGCAUUCUUAGAGAUAAGCAAAUAAAUCUCUUGGUAAAAUGCCUGCCAC
rnacentral:lncRNA from 1 species